GACGAACGCUGGCGGCGGGCUUAACACAUGCAAGUCGAACGGAAAGGACCUGCUUGUGUGGGGUGCUCGAGUGGCGAAGGGGUGAGUAACGCGUGAGUACCCUGUCUUUGACUUUGGGAGCACUUCAGGAAACUGAGUCAAACAGCGUAUAGGAGCUCCUGCGGCAUGGUGGAGGUUGAAAUGUUUCGGAGGUUGGGGAUGGACUCGCGGCUUUUAAGCUUGUUGGUGGGGUAGUGGCUGACCAAGGCAUGGACGAGUAGCGGGCCGGAGAGGGUGACCGGCCACAUUGGGAGUGAGCUACGGCCCAGACUCCUAAGGGAGGCAGCAGUGGGGACUAUUGCACAAUGGGCGGAAGCCGGAUGCAGCAACGCCGCGUGCCGGAUGACGGCCUUCUGGUAGUAAACCGCAUUCGCCUGUGACGAAGUGUGAGUGACGGUAAUGUAUAAAUAAGCACCGGCUAACUACGUG
rnacentral:rRNA from 1 species